UCGACGCCAGUUUAUGUAGAA
rnacentral:piRNA from 1 species